rnacentral:rRNA from 1 species
AUACAGAGGGUGCGAGCGUUAAUCGGAAUUACUGGGCGUAAAGCGCGCGUAGGCGGUUUAUUAAGUCAGAUGUGAAAUCCCCGGGCUCAACCUGGGAACUGCAUCUGAUACUGGUAAGCUAGAGUUUUGGAGAGGGAAGUAGAACUUCAGGUGUAGCGGUGAAAUGCAUAGAGAUCUGAAGGAAUACCAGUGGCGAAGGCGACUUCCUGGCCAAAAACUGACGCUGAGGUGCGAAAGCGUGGGUAGCAAACGGGAUUAGAAACCCUUGUAGUCC